rnacentral:rRNA from 1 species
GACGAACGCUGGCGGCGUGCUUAACACAUGCAAGUCGAACGGAAAGGCCCUUGUUUUGUGGGGUACUCGAGUGGCGAACGGGUGAGUAACACGUGGGUAACCUGCCCUUCACUUUGGGAUAACCUUAGGAAACUGGGGCUAAUACCGGAUAGGAGCUCCUUCUGCAUGCUGUGGGUUGGAAAGUUUCGUCGGUGGGGGAUGGGCUCGCGGCUUAUCAGCUUGUUGGUGGGGUAGUGGCUUACCAAGGCGUGGACGGGUAGCCGGCCUGAGAGGGUGACCGGCCACAUUGGGACUGAGAUACGGCCCAGACUCCUACGGGAGGCAGCAGUGGGGAAUAUUGCACAAUGGGCGGAAGCCUGAUGCAGCGACGCCGCGUGCGGGAUGACGGCCUUCGGGUUGUAAACUGCUUUCGCUUGGGACGAAGCGUGAGUGACGGUAAUGGGUGAAGAAGCACCGGCUAACUACGUG